GGGCAUGACUUAGUGGAAGAGCCUCUGCUUAGAAUGCAGAAGGUUCCAGGUUCAAUUUCUGGCAUGUUCA
rnacentral:tRNA from 1 species